rnacentral:misc_RNA from 1 species
CAUGGAUGUAUCUUGCUGUUCCAGUUUUACUAUAUGCCGGAGAAAGAGCCCUGAGAUUUUUUCGUUCUGGCUUCUAUACUGUCCAGCUUCAGAAGGUUGCAAUUUAUCCUGGUAAUUUCCUCACAUUGCAAAUGUCAAAGCCUUCCCAGUUUCGAUACAAGAGUGGGCAGUACAUGUUCGUCCAGUGCCCUGCUGUUUCUCCAUUUGAGUGGCAUCCAUUUUCCAUUACCUCCGCUCCUGGUGAUGACUACCUUAGUGUUCACAUUCGGCAGCUAGGUGACUGGACCCAAGAACUUAAAAGGGUAUUCUCAGAGGUCUGCGAACGUCCUGUAGCUGGGAAGAGUGGACUUCUCAGGGCUGAUGAAACAACCAAAAAAUGUUUGCCAAAGCUCUUAAUAGAUGGCCCCUAUGGCGCCCCAGCACAAGACUACCGGAAAUAUGAUGUGCUGUUACUAGUUGGUCUUGGAAUUGGAGCAACUCCUUUUAUCAGCAUUCUAAAAGAUUUGCUCAAUAACAUUGUCAAAAUGGAGGAGCAGGCAGAUUUGGGAUCAGAUAUCAGUAGGACAUCAGAUUUAUGAGUCGAAGCAUCAUUACUUCUAGAACCUCUCCAAAACGAAAGAAGACUCUGAGGACUACCAAUGCUUAUUUCUAUUGGGUAACUAGGGAACAAGGUUCCUUUGAUUGGUUCAAAGGGGUCAUGAAUGAAGUCGCAGACAUUGAUCAAAGGGGUGUGAUUGAAAUGCACAAUUACUUGACCAGUGUUUAUGAAGAAGGUGACGCCCGUUCAACCCUCAUUACCAUGGUCCAAGCCCUAAACC